rnacentral:lncRNA from 1 species
CCUCGGUCUCUCAUUUAAAUUCUCGUAUAGGACCACUGAGGUGACGUCAUACCUCGGUGAUGGAACGUACUCCACCUGUCGAGAAUUAUUCGGGUUCUGAGAGAAUUUGACGUUUACCUUGGCGGAGAAACGCCUCUCGUUCUUUACUUGACUGUGAGCUGUGGUGUCGAAUAGAUAUACCAUAUAGAAUGGCGGAUGAUUUCCUCCAACUUAUUUUAUCACAUAAGAAAUUUAACGUAAAGUAAAAAGUUACCACCAGGGAUUGUCUGGAGUGAGGAGACAUGUGGGUGACAACUCCUGUUGGAGUAUAAAUAGGAAUCAUUCGCCAUUUGGGAGAAACCCUACCAUGAAGUCCUAGACCUUAUUUGACCACCUUGGGAAACCACUACAGCCACAGUCAAGUCAUCAUUGGGUAGUAAUUUUGGGAACAAGCUAUGGGAGCGUUCCAGCUCAAUUUUCGUCUUGGCACCUGGGCCUACAGGAGUCAUGGGGCCGCACCAUCCUGGUGCAUCAUUUUCUAGGAUGUAACCGCAACCUCGUUUGGGAACAUUUAGUGAGGUGUUUUAGUAACUAUUGGUUUUUUUUAUAUUUCAGACUAUCUGUUAAAUACACUAUGUUUUUUUUCCAGAUUUAGGUUACCUCUGGUUUGUUUUUUGACAUAUUUGUAUAUUAGAUUAUUUGGUUCCCAAACUUUGUAUCUACGGUAACUUCUUGUGCACAGGAAUAAGCCUAGAGAAAAUUAGGGUUUUAAUACUUUAUUAUUGCUUUGAUAUUGGUUUAUGUAAUUCGGGUAAAUUUAUUUUGUAAUAUUACUAGCUUGUUUCCCAAAUAUUUUACUGUCAUUCGCUUUAUUCCAUUUGUUCGGUUAAUUUAGGCCAUCGUCGGUAUUUAUCUCAACUUCAUUUCUACUUUAGUCAAUUGUAUAUUUAACUUUAUUUAUUCAUUAUUGUAUUUUCCCUUAGUGAGGCUUGGGCCUAUUUAUUUGUAUUAUUUUCAUCUUUGUCGGUUUCAAUUCAGUUGUACGUAGCAGGCGUACUAUAACCAUUUGGUAGAAGACUUAUGUAAUUUUGUACCCUAUAUGUAAGUAAGAGGUACUAAUACCUGUAAUUUUGUAACAGAUAACAUUAUUGUUGUUAUCUUAGAGAUGACUUUUUGUAUAACUUAUGUCAUUUUAGAGUCACAUGAUAUACACUUUGUGUAACUCAGAGAUUGUCAAAAAUCUAGUAGUUAUUUUUAAUAAAUAUGUAUUUAUUUUGUA